AUGUUCCCAAUAACAAGCUGUUUACCCAAACCACGUAGCGUUACGUUCUCCAAAUCUCCAUUUUCUGCCGGAAUUAAUUUCUCAUUUACUAAUGUAAUCAUUGCAGCAGUGUCAACAAUCAUGCUCACAUUCUGGUCAUGCAUAGUACCUCGUACUGCUAAGCUCUUUCAAAUGGUUCGUCGGAUGACAAUACCGGACGAGGACGUGGACCUCUGUUCGAUUUUGUGAUGAGGUGAUGUUUCAUGGUCAAUAUACUUUGGAAUCGUGCGUUGGCCUACUGGCCCGACCCUUUGCUGUUGAAAGACUCCAUUGUUGGGGCUGCACUUUGAUUUGCUCCGUAUCCUGGUGAAGGUGACCGUUGUCUGAAAUAACCGGGAUUUCUGGAGUUUGUCCGUGGAGAUGCUAACCGUUGUCUUUAGGAACUAUAUGAUCUCUAGCUUAGUGGGGGUGUUGCUGAUCGAUAGGCAUUAAGAUUGGGUGUAUAUCUGUUUGGCGAUAUACCGCGAUUGUAUUGCUCAGGAGAUCUUUCACGUGUAUAUUGAUCAGGUCAUCUUCCAUUGAACUGGUGAUCUUCCAUGAUUAUUUGAUCAGAAGAACCGAG
rnacentral:lncRNA from 1 species